UACGUAGGGGGCAAGCGUUGUCCGGAAUCAUUGGGCGUAAAGAGCGUGUAGGCGGUUCGGUAAGUCGGCUGUGAAAGUCCAGGGCUCAACCCUGGGAUGCCGGUCGAUACUGCCGGACUAGAGUUCGGAAGAGGCGAGUGGAAUUCCCGGUGUAGCGGUGAAAUGCGCAGAUAUCGGGAGGAACACCUAUGGCGAAGGCAGCUCGCUGGGACGGUACUGACGCUGAGACGCGAAAGCGUGGGGAGCGAACAGG
rnacentral:rRNA from 1 species